UACGUAGGGUGCAAGCGUUAAUCGGAAUUACUGGGCGUAAAGCGUGCGCAGGCGGUGAUGUAAGACAGUUGUGAAAUCCCCGGGCUCAACCUGGGAACUGCAUCUGUGACUGCAUCGCUGGAGUGCGGCAGAGGGGGAUGGAAUUCCGCGUGUAGCAGUGAAAUGCGUAGAUAUCGCUUGGAACGCCGACGGUGAAAACAGCUCGCUGGGGAUUCGCUGACGCUGAGACACGAAAGCCAGGGGAGCAAACGGG
rnacentral:rRNA from 1 species